rnacentral:rRNA from 1 species
UUCGCAAUGCCCGAAAGGGUGAACGAGCGACGCCGCGUGCGGGAUGAAGGCCUUCGGGUUGUAAACCGCUUUUGCAAGGGAAAAACUUAAUGAUGGUACCUUGCGAAUAAGAGGUUACUAACUCUGUGCCAGCAGUAGCGGUAAUACAGAGACCUCAAGCGUUAUCCGGAUUUAUUGGGCGUAAAGCGCGGGUAGGCGGAUGGGAACGUCGGUUUUUGAAAGCCCCCGGCUCAACCGGGGAAGUGGAGCCGAAACGACCGAUCUGGAGGGACGUAGGGGGACCUGGAACUUCCGGUGGAGCGGUGAAAUGCGUUGAGAUCGGAAGGAACGCCCGUGGCGAAAGCGAGGUCCUGGACGUCUGCUGACGCUGAGACGCGAAAGCUAGGGGAGCAAACGGGAUUAGAUACCCCGGUAGUCCUAGCCGUAAACGAUGGGCACUAAGUAGAGGGGUUUU